UACAGAGGUCUCGAGCGUUAGGCGGAAUCACUGGGCUUAAAGCGUGUGUAGGCGGAUUGGUAAGUACCUUGUGAAAUCCCACGGCUCAACCGUGGAACUGCUCGGUAUACUGCCUGUCGUGUGCAACCUAGGGGCGAGCGGAACAGAUGGUGGAGCGGUGAAAUGCGUAGAUAUCAUCUGGAACGCCAAUGGUGAAAACAGCUCGCUGGGGGUUUGCAGACGCUGAGACACGAAAGCCAGGGGAGCGAACGGG
rnacentral:rRNA from 1 species